rnacentral:rRNA from 1 species
UUGCGCAGUAUAGGUGGGAGGCAAAGAUUAUAUAUUUGCGGAUGUAUAUGAGCCGCUAGUGAGAUACCACUCUAAUUAAACUAGAAUUCUAAUAUUGAUUGCCAUAAGCUGGCCAAUAAACAGUUUCAGGUGGGCAGUUUGACUGGGGCGGUCGCCUCCUAAAAGGUAACGGAGGCGUGCAAAGGUUUCCUCAGGCUGGUCGGAAAUCAGUCGUAGAGUGUAAAGGCAUAAGGAAGCUUGACUGCGAGACCUACAAGUCGAGCAGAGACGAAAGUCGGCCUUAGUGAUCCGACAGUGCUG